GACGAACGCUGGCGGCGUGCUUAACACAUGCAAGUCGAACGGAAAGGCCCUGCUUUUGUGGGGUGCUCGAGUGGCGAACGGGUGAGUAACACGUGAGUAACCUGCCCUUGACUUUGGGAUAACUUCAGGAAACUGGGGCUAAUACCGGAUAGGAGCUCCUGCUGCAUGGUGGGGGUUGGAAAGUUUCGGCGGUUGGGGAUGGACUCGCGGCUUAUCAGCUUGUUGGUGGGGUAGUGGCUUACCAAGGCUUUGACGGGUAGCCGGCCUGAGAGGGUGACCGGCCACAUUGGGACUGAGAUACGGCCCAGACUCCUACGGGAGGCAGCAGUGGGGAAUAUUGCGCAAUGGGCGGAAGCCGGAUGCAGCAACGCCGCGUGCGAGAUGACGGCCUUCGGGUUGUAAACCGCUUUCGCCUGUGACGAAGCGUGAGUGACGGUAAUGGGUAAAGAAGCAACGGCUAACUACGUG
rnacentral:rRNA from 1 species